CACGUAGGGGGCAAGCGUUGUCCGGAUUUAUUGGGCGUAAAGAGCUCGUAGGUGGUUCGGUAAGUCAGGUGUGAAACCUCCAGGCUCAACCUGGAGACGCCACUUGAUACUGCUGUGACUGGAGUCCGGUAGGGGAGCGUGGAAUUCCUGGUGUAGCGGUGAAAUGCGCAGAUAUCGGGAAGAACACCCGUGGCGAAGGCGGUUCUCUGGGCAACAACUGACGCUGAGGAGCGAAAGCGUGGGGAGCGAACAGG
rnacentral:rRNA from 1 species